UGUGAUAAUGGUCCGAUCGGAUACCUGG
rnacentral:piRNA from 1 species